rnacentral:rRNA from 1 species
UCGGAUUGCAGGCUGCAACCCGCCUGUAUGAAGUUGGAAUCGCUAGUAAUCGCGGAUCAGCAUGCCGCGGUGAAUACGUUCCCGGGCCUUGUACACACCGCCCGUCACACCAUGAGAGUCGGGAACACCCGAAGUCCGUAGCCUAACCGCAAGGGGGCGCGGCCGAAGGUGGGUUCGAUAAUUGGGUGAAGUCGUAACAAGGUAUC